rfam:Rahnella aquatilis CIP 78.65 = ATCC 33071, complete genome.
GAAUUUUUGAUUAACGCCCACUUAGUGGGCCACGUGGAAG